UACGUAGGGGGCAAGCGUUGUCCGGAAUCAUUGGGCGUAAAGCGCGAGCGUAGGCGGUUAUCUAAGUCGGAAUGUGAAAGCCCUCGGCUUAAACUGAGGAAGUGCACCCGAAACUGGAUAGCUAGAGUACGAAAGAGGGUCGCGGAAUUCCCGGUGUAGAGGUGAAAUUCGUAGAUAUCGGGAGGAAACACCGAUGGCGAAGGCAGGUCUCUGGGCUGACACUGACGCUCAUGCACGAAAGCGUGGGGAGCAAACAGGAU
rnacentral:rRNA from 1 species